UGUGGUCCAACCUAGGGUCUAGACAUGCCAGGCAAGCUCUACCACAGAGCCACACUCCUGGCCAUUUUUACUGUAUUUUGAGAUAGGGUCUUCCUGUGUUGCCCAGGCUGGCCUCAAACUUGUAAUCCUCCUGCCUCUGCCUCCAAGUAGCUAGGGUUGCAGACUUGCACCGCUACACCCAGUUGAAGGUUACUUCUUUUUAAAAUAUUUUUAGUUCUAGGUGGACAUAAUGAAUUGAUUGUACUAUAUGGUGCUGAGGAUGGAACCUGGUGCCUCUCAAACGCCAGGCAAGGGCUCUACUGCUGAGCCACAUCCCCAGCCCCUCCCCAGGCCUUUUUAUUUUGAGAGAGGGUUUUAAUAAGUUGCUUAGGGCCUCCCUACAUUGCUGAGGCUGGCCUUGAACUUUCCAUCCUCCUGUCUCAGCCUUCUGAGUGGCUGGAAUCACAGGUGCGCAUCCCCUAAGGCCGCAUCUCAGCGGUCUGACGACAUUUCCAACUCUGUUCUUAUGUCUGUGGUGGUGACCUGUGAGCAGCGGUCUUUGCCACAAGUGGAAUUGUUUGGGGGCACCAUGAACUGCACCCAGAUAAGACUAUGAACUCUGUCCUGUGUUCUGACUGCUCCACUGACCAUCUCCCCGUCGCCGUCCCCCUUGGCCUCCCUGUGCCCUGAGACACAACUGUGUUGAAGUUAGGCCAGUAGCAGCCCAACAGCGGCCUCGGAGUGUCCCAGGGAAAGGAAGAGCUGCACACCUCUCACUUUGAAUCAGAAGCUGGAGUGAUGGCACCGUGGAGGAGGCCAGCAGCCAGGCCUCCAGCUGAUAGCCACGCUGUGAGUGCGGAAGAAGUCCUGGGGAAGGACAUGGCACGCGCUGCCCCGUGAAGGAGCGAGGGAUAAGAGAGCGCAGCAGCUGCUGGUGCUGAGACUCACGGGCCUGGACAGGAGGGAAGCCAGCCACAGCCCAUCCUCAAGCCAGAGCCUCGUCCAGGGCAGGGUCCUGGGCCAGCUGAGGCUCAGUGGCAGGGCAUGUGCCCAGCGUGCCCCUGGUGCUCACAGCAGAGAGAAGUCAGUGCCAGGCUCCAAAGCCGGGCGGGUGUCUCUCCUGUCAGGUGCCUGCACAGUGGUGACAUCAGGUUGAAGCCAGUGCUGGCCCACCACUGUGACGAUCCUGGCCUCGGGGACUUGUCCUGUCCUGUCUGCCAGAGUUCUGAAUGGACCACAGAGCCCUGAUGGCGCACAGCUGUACCCUAGGGGCCCUGACUGCUGGGCUGCUGCUCAGAAAAGGUCUCUUCCUGAGCCUCGUUGCUCCUGGACAGCCUGCCUGGUCACCUGGAGGCUGGAUGGAGAUGGGCAGCGAGGUCCACCUGGGCUUCAUGCCCCAUCCGUUUCCAUAGCCCGGGGAUUGUGAAGUAAUGUGGGGUGGGGGUUCCAGGGAUCCUGGUGUCUGCAUUUUCAUUGUAUCUGGCAUUUUGACACAUUGUACGGAAAUGGAGCACAACUCCUCCUCCCUCUGGCUGCGGUGGUGCAGUCACAUGUGCAUGUAGGGUCAUAACCUCCUUGUUACCGUGCAUGUUUGUUUUUAAAGGAUGACUUACAUUGUGGCUCAAGAUGGACAGCUAAUGUUGGACUCCUCCCCGCACGCUUCUGGAUACUGAGAGGAGGCAAUGCCCAUCAGAAAUAUCAUUAAUCCCAGCAGCUCUGGAGCCUGAGGCAGGAGGAUCAAGAGUUCAAAGCCAGCCUCAGCAACAUCGAGGCGCUAAGCAACCCAGUGAGACCCUGUCUUUAAAGAAAAAAUAUAACAUAGGGCUGGGGGUGUGGCUCAGUGGUUGAGUGCUCUGGAGUUCGAUCCCUGGUAUUGAAAAGAAAUGACCAUCCUUGCUGCAUGCAGCGUGUGCUCCUGUUGUUCCAGCAGCUCGGGCAGUGGUUCACGAGUUCAAGGCCAGCCUGGACAACUCAAGGAGACCCUAUCUCAAAAUUAGACAAAAAGGGCAAAUGCCCCUGGGUUCAAUCCCCAGUGCCAAAGAAAAAGAAAUAAGCUUCCUUAGGGUAUAGAGUGGGGAGCAGGACAGGCGCGUGUCACAGGGGGGAAGAGAAGCCUGUGUGUCGGUCGGUAGCUUCCAGUGGCCGCCAUCGCAAGUCAGGACAGAUGGCACUCACAGCAGCACUCCUAGUUCUGGGGGCCGCACUCCCUCUGGGAGCUCUGGGAAGGAACCUCCUCCCCAGCUCCUGGCACCUGCUGCGCCCCCUAGCCCCCAGCCAUGUGGCCGCCUGUCUCCCGAGGACAGCUAGCUGUCCACGGGAAUCAAAGCCCACUGAUCCUCAGUUACAGCAGCCAAGAGCCUUCUCCACAAAUAAAGCCACGUCCUGGGUUCUGGGACUUGGGGCGUGGGGUCCCCUAGUGGCCACCGUCUCUCACCUGUGUGCAUUCAGCUGUCCUUGUGGUGGCUCGCCUCUGGAGAUGCUCAUGCAGCCGAGGCCUUGCCCAUCAGUGAAGAGUUCUUGGCACCGGUGCCACACUGAGGGCACUGGGGCUCUGCCCUGUGGUUCCCGAGUCUGCCUCCAGCGUCCCCGGUCAACCUUCCCGGCAGUGUUUGGAGAUACAUACUCUCCGUGUAUCCUUCCGUGCUGAGCCCAGGGUGGAUGGCAGGGCAGCCUCUCACCAGGGGCUUGGCAUGUCUCCUGCAGGGUUCCUGAUGCCCAGGCUCCUGGGAGGGAGGCAGCAGAGUCUCACUGGAGGGCCUGGCCCAGGCCACACCCCGUGCUGCUGCCCGAGCACAGCUGCCUGCUCAAUGGAAGGCUGACCUGCUGACCAGCACCCCUGGGCCAGUGCCACUGGACAUCUCUGCCUUUGUCACUCAGUCCCCAGACGCUGUGUCACACCUUCACAGUCACUCUCCCUCCUCCCUGUCCCCACCUUUGUGCUGGGCCCACAGGCAACAGCUCCUGCCUUGGGGCUUGGCACCCUCCCUGCUGGGCUGGUGGAGCUCAGCUCAGCUCCGCCUCGCCCCACCCUCCCCCAGUGCCGGGCACUGGACCUGGGGUGCUUGACCACUGAGCUGCAUCCCCAGCCUUUUUCAUUUUUAUUUUGAAAUGGGUCUCCCUGGGUUUGUGAGGAUGGCCUUGAGCUUGACACUCCAGCCUCGGCUGCCCAGGUCUCUGACAUUCCAGAGUGCACGUCUCAGACCCACCGCGUGCCCCCACACAUCCCUUUCCUUGUUCACGCCUCUCUUGUGGCACCGAGUGCAGUCUGACAGACUUAUGUAUCUCACUGGUCAUUUUCUCCACCUUCCUCCCAGAAUAAAUAUCACUGUGUGGUGUUGUAGGUGCCCACUGAGUGCCAGGCACCCAGAAUAAGGCCCAGGACGCAGCUGGUCAAGUUCCCAUCUAUAGUGUUCAGAUUCUUGUUGAUGGGCCCAGAUCUUCGCGCACCCCUGGGAGCCUGCCUUUGACUGGGAGAUGGGCCCACCUGCUGGCCAGGACGGGGCGUUGGCGCCACCCAGUGGCCAGUCCAGGGUCUGCACCCUGGCCACCCUGGGAGGUCCCAUGCCUGCUGCUGGCUGCAGCUGAAGUGCUGCCGCCACUUGUUGCCCGCACCUCGAGGUGGCCAUUAAAGUGAUGGAAAGAUACAGCUGAUGCUCAUGUCUGUCACCUUGGCCCUUUGUUCCACUCCUGGGUGACAAGACCUGCGUCCAGAAAGCCACAAUUCACAAUUGUCCGCAGGCCAGGAAAACAUAAGUGCCUGUCCCCUGCUGGCCCGUCAGCACACAGUGGUCCAUCCAUACCCCGGAAAACGUGAGAAUGCAGGACUGUGGCAGAGCUGCCGAGGCUGAGGCAGGAGGACUGCCGGAGGCUGGGGGGUCGAGGCCAGCCUGGGCACCACGGCAAGAUCCCCUUUCACAGAGUACAUCCGCCGCAGCACGGAUGAGCCUUGAAGCCAGAAACGAAAGGACACACGGUGCGGAUGCAUCUGUGGGACAUCACCAGAAGGGCAGGUCCACAGAGAGGAGAGUGCUGUGGUGGCCACCAGGGCCUGGGGACGGGAGGGAGUGACAGCUCAGAACUGUGGCAUGUCUCUGUGGGCCCACGGAAAUGCUCAGAUGGUGGUGGUCAUUGCCAUCCUUGUGAAUGUACUGAAAACAGGAUUAUAGACCUUAAAAGUGGACUGUAGAUUGUGGAUCAUAUCAAUAAAAUUGGCUUAAGCAGUUCUA
rnacentral:lncRNA from 1 species